UCUCACUGAAACCACCAAUGGAAGAGCAGUGCAAAUAGGUUGUCAGGUAGGAUUGUUUCUCCAAGAGUGACUAAUCUUAUAUCUGCUAUGAAGGUUCAGAGGCAUGCAAAGGACAAAGAAGAUGCCGCCCAUCAGGAGGAAAUAGAUCGAUUCUGCUGCACCAACCCUGAACGGAUCCUGAUGUUAGCAUUAGCAGACAAGGACACCAACGGAAUCAUAUCCCGUUGUGUGCAUAUGGGAAAUAAUUGCAAAUUCACAUGCAGCAUUAAGAAGUAAUACAGAGAUUCUAUAUAACCUUCACCCAAUUUCUCCCAAAGUCUGCCACAUCUUUUGUUAGUAGUCCCAGCCAACCUACCAUCUGAAUGGAGUCAUUAAUGAGCCCAGAAAAAAUUACCAAGAGGAGUCCAGAUCACCAGAACCCAGUUGGUCCAAACAUCUGUUAAAAAAACACCAAGAAUAUGCAGAAGCUAUUAAAAUUUCCAGAAAGAAAGUGGUGACUUAUGAAGAAACAAGAAUCAGACUGAAACACUUAACAAGCAACUCUGGAUCUCAGAAAGAAAUGUUUCAGUAAUGUUUUCACUGGACUUAGAAAAAAGAAAACGUUUUAAUCUAAAUUCUGAAACCAGCCAAGUGUCAAUCAGGGCAAAAUUAAAGAACUUUUUAGAUAUUCAGGGCCUCAGAAAGGUUUACCUUUCAUGUGCUCAUUGUUACACUGUGCAUGUACUUGACAGUAAUAAAAGGUGAAGAAAAAAUGUAAAAAACGGUACAUAAAAUGGGGUUUUCCUGCCUUCUAAAUUGUACUUAACCUGAUGCAAUUACAUUUACAGAAAAAUACCUAAAACCUCCUAUGUGGAUUCAUGAACAUGGAUGAAUUUAUAUAUCUGAUAAAAUAUUCAGAAUUCAUAACAUCUGGGGGAUAAAUGCACUUUGUAAAGGUAAUCUUGGUUUAAACAAGAUUAAACAGGGUUUGGGGGGGGCAGAAAAGAAGUGUUUAAUUCAUGAAAUAAAAUA